UUCUGUAAAAUAGCUGCUGGCAUCAAGAACAACAGCAAUGGGCACCAGCUGAAGGAUCUGAUUCUCCAGAAGGGGAUCACCCAGAAUGCACUUGACUACAUGAAAAAGCACAUCCCUAGCGCCAAGAAUUUGGAUGCCGACAUCUGGAAAAAGUUUUUGUCUCGCCCAGCCUUGCCGUUUAUCCUAAGGCUGCUUCGGGGCCUGGCCAUCCAGCACCCUGGCACCCAGGUGGGUAGCCAGGACAGGUAGUGUGAGGGUACAGGGGUACAAGUAUAACUACCCUAGUUCACCUUGAGACAUGACUUACCCUAAUA
rnacentral:sRNA from 1 species